rnacentral:rRNA from 1 species
GGCGGCGUGCUUACACAUGCAAGUCGAGCGGAAAGGCCCUUCGGGGUACUCGAGCGGCGAACGGGUGAGUAACACGUGAGCAACCUGCCCCUGGCUCUGGGAUAGCCUCCGGAAACGGGGAUUAAUACCGGACAUUCACUCUUCUGGGCAUCCUAGAGGGUGGAAAGUUUUUCGGCCAGGGAGGGGCUCGCGGCCUAUCAGCUUGUUGGCGGGGUAACGGCCCACCAAGGCGACGACGGGUAGCCGGCCUGAGAGGGCGACCGGCCACACUGGGACUGAGACACGGCCCAGACUCCUACGGGAGGCAGCAGUGGGGAAUAUUGCGCAAUGGGCGAAAGCCUGACGCAGCGACGCCGCGUGGGGGAUGAAGGCCUUCGGGUUGUAAACCUCUUUCACCAGGAGCGAAUCCAGACGGUACCUGGGGAAGAAGCGCCGGCUAACUACGUGCCAGCAGCCGCGGUAAUACGUAGGGCGCAAGCGUGGUCCGGAAUUAUUGGGCGUAAAGAGCUCGUACGCGGCCUGUCGCGUCCGCUGUGAAAUCCUGGGGCUUAACCC